rnacentral:rRNA from 1 species
UACAGAGGUCUCAAGCGUUGUUCGGAUUCAUUGGGCGUAAAGGGUGUGUAGGUGGCGCCGUAAGUCGGGUGUGAAAUCUCAGAGCUCAACUCUGAAACUGCACUCGAUACUGCUUUGCUUGAGGACUGGAGAGGAGAUUGGAAUUCACGGUGUAGCAGUGAAAUGCGUAGAUAUCGUGAGGAAGACCAGUGGCGAAGGCGGAUCUCUGGACAGUUCCUGACGCUGAGGCGCGAAGGCCAGGGGAGCAAACGGG